UACGUAGGAUCCAAGCGUUAUCCGGAAUUACUGGGCGUAAAGCGUACGUAGGUGGAGAUUUAAGUGAGAUGCGAAAUCUGGCGGCUCAACCGUCUAGACUGUGUCUCAUACUGGGUUUCUUGAGGUUGGCAGAGGCAAGUGGAAUUUCCGGUGUAGCAGUGAAAUGCGUAGAUAUCAGGAGGAACACCGAUGGCGAAGGCAGGUCUCUGGGCUGACACUGACGCUCAUGCACGAAAGCGUGGGGAGCAAACAGG
rnacentral:rRNA from 1 species